rnacentral:ncRNA from 2 species
AAUCGCCGUAUGCCAUGAAAGUGGCACGUACGGUGAGGACCGGUCGAAAUCUCGGUGGAGAUAGACACGGAAU